UACGAAGGGGGCUAGCGUUGUUCGGAAUUACUGGGCGUAAAGCGCGCGUAGGCGGUGAUCUUUGUCAGAGGUGAAAGCCUGGGGCUCAACUCCAGAAUUGCCUUUGAAACGGGAUCGCUCGAGUCCGAGAGAGGAUGGCGGAAUUCCUAGUGUAGAGGUGAAAUUCGUAGAUAUUAGGAAGAACACCGGUGGCGAAGGCGGCCAUCUGGCUCGGUACUGACGCUCAGGCGCGAAAGCGUGGGGAGCAAACAGG
rnacentral:rRNA from 1 species